UGCCGUUUCGUAAUAGAUAUCUCGCAAUUCGGCGCUGGAUUUCAAAGUAAUUUUACCGACAAUGACGCGUAUUAAUUUUACAUCGUAACGUUGCUUUUCAUUAAUUAAGGAACUGGCAUGAAAGGAUUUACCCCGAAAAAAAAAAAAAAAACAAAUCUAUCAAUUACACACGCGUCAGUCUUUGCCGAUUGGUCGCAUUCUUUUACGAACGGACUUUCAUUCGCUCCGACGAGACCAAGUGCCGACAACCCGACUGGAGGAUUAAAAAUCAACCUUCAACAGCGCCGCCUAUCUCUCGACCUUUUCUACGGAAGUUUCGCGGGGAAUACCGUCUCGCUAAAUUAGUCACAUCUCCUUCGGCUGCCUGUCAGAGUUGACGUGAUUUGGACUCGCGAAUAUCUUUGGCUCUCGUGCCUUGUGUUUAUUUUUUGCGUUCAAAGUCUCCAUUCCUGCGCCAUGUCGAAAACUCCGUUGGCGAAUGAUCCAACGGACAGAGGAAUCAGCAACAGAUUGGACAAAGCAAUGGGAUGGGCUGGUUACGAUGAUCCGAAAGAAAGCAAGGUCCGCGCGAGCAUUCACGCUGGAUAUCACGAGUAUCAAUACCACAAAACCGGAAAUCCCAGGGAACAUGAACGCGCCAAGGAUCAAUGGGGUGUCGUCACUGGCGGCGCGAGAGAUAACUUGCAGAAAUAUGAUGCGCAACAACAAUCGGCCGGAGAGAAAUCGGGCAAAUAAGAAAGCGAAAAUAAUGAAGGCGAAAUAUAUGUCCGUAUAUUAACGUACCAUAUAUCUAAGAUAUUUGCUUUUUGCUCGUGAUAAAACGAGAAAUAAUAAUUUUGCUUCAAUUUCCUACAUAUUGCACUCAUUUAUAUUCAAUGCGUACCGAAUAAAUAUUCUGUGUAUUUCAAUAAACGUGAUAUUUACGUAAAAUUCUA